GAUGAACGCUGGCGGCGUGCCUAAUACAUGCAAGUCGAGCGAACAGAUGAGGAGCUUGCUCCUCUGACGUUAGCGGCGGACGGGUGAGUAACACGUGGAUAACCUACCUAUAAGACUGGGAUAACUUCGGGAAACCGGAGCUAAUACCGGAUAAUAUAUUUAACCUCAUGGUUCAAUAGGGAAAGACGGUUUUGCUGUCACUUAUAGAUGGAUCCGCGCCGCAUUAGCUAGUUGGUAAGUUAAAGGCUUACCAAGGCAACGAUGCGUACCCGACCUGAGAGGGUGAUCGGCCACACUGGAACUGAGACACGGUCCAGACUCCUACGGGAGGCAGCAGUAGGGAAGCUUCCGCAAUGGGCGAAAGCCUGCCGGAGCAACGCCGCGUGAGUGAUGAAGGUCUUCGGAUCGUAAACCUCUGUUAUUAGGGACGAACAAAUGUGUAAGUAACUAUGCACGUCUUGACGGUACCUAAUCAGAAAGCCACGGCUAACUACGUG
rnacentral:rRNA from 1 species